UACGUAGGGUGCGAGCGUUGUCCGGAAUUACUGGGUGUAAAGAGCUCGUAGGUGGUUUGUCGCGUUGUUCGUGAAAUCUCACGGCUUAACUGUGAGCGUGCGGGCGAUACGGGCAGACUAGAGUGCGGUAGGGGAGAAUGGAACUCCUGGUGUAGCGGUGGAAUGCGCAGAUAUCAGGAGAACACCGAUGGCGAAGGCAGGUCUCUGGGCCAUUACUGACACUGAGAAGCGAAAGCAUGGGGAGCGAACAGGAUUAGAACUACGUG
rnacentral:rRNA from 1 species